CCGUCUUCUGCGUGGCUCACGCUGGGAGCUGUAGACCGGAGCUGUUCCUAUUCGGCCAUCUUGGCUCCUCUUGAGGGAAUUUAAUAUGAGGAACUCGUGAUAAAACUAUUGGAAAAGCCACGAGGGCUAAGAAGGGCUACAGGAAGCUACCACUCAUUCAAGGACUGGAGGAAAAAUGGGAAGAAGGUGCUGUUACCAGAGUCCAGGAGCCGGGGCUUCCUGGCAGGAGGUGGGACUCCGAAGGAAUCACAACCACUGCUGGAGAAUGGACAACAGAGACAAGGCCAAUCCCCUGGAAUCUCUCUCUCCUUUGAAACCUACGGUUUCAUACCAGGGUUUCCAUUUCAGAAACCCAGAUGAAUAUCAGUUGACAAAGUGUUUGUAGAGUGAAACACCCUGAAUACAGAGCAGAGCAAAGAGGAAAAUGGGGUCGAAUCUGAGAGCAGACAGGUGAAUGACUAGCACAGAUGCAUCACUCUUGAUUGAUUACUAUAUAAUGCCACAGGUCUAAGGCACCAUGUCUCACUCUAGGUGUAUGCCUGGGGAUAUGUGGUGAUACCUUAGAAUUUUGAGGAGCCCAUGAGGCAGCAUACUCUGUUGAAGUCUGAAGACAUAUAUUUGGAUUCUUAAAAUACUGUGACAGCAGAUUAAAGAUGAGAAAUUACCCAGAGCUGAGUCUGAUAUAUGCUGUUAGUAUACUUCAAUUCAGCCUGAUUUCUGAAAUCAAAGGACUUUAAGACAACCAUGUGUGAAUCAUUAAACAUUUUAAUGUCAAUAAGUUACUUUAAUAUUCAAAUAGUCAUAUAAGUAAAAUGCACAUGACUUUUAAAGACAGAAAAUGAAACCUAAAGAAAUCUUCUCCUUCCCAGGAUGUAAUCCUCACUGCCAGACCUCAGUCACUGUACUAAGCCCCAGACAAGAAAUAUUAAACAUGGUGUCUGGCCUCAGUGAACUUACUGACUUUUGGGGGAGAAAAAAAGUAACAAAAACAUUUUAAAAACACACACAUGAAAAAUAUUGCAAAACAAAUAUUGAACUAUUUAGGGAACAUACAUUUAUUAGUUACCUACUAAAGAACGCCCUGUGCUAGAAAACUGAUUCAUUUAUUCAAAAACAUUUCUUGAUUAUCUACUAAUUGCCAGCCUGGUAAUAAAUGGAAUGUGUUAGUUGCAUUAAAGAUAAAAAUCUGGUUUGUAGGCUUGUCUUCUCCAUUACACUCUAAGCUCACUGAAGAUAGGGGCUCUGCUUUAUUUAUCUUUUGAAUUCUCAGAGUUUACUUCAGUAUCUAACCAAUGCAAAGUACUCAAUAAAUAUUGUUGACCCAAGAAAUGACUGUCUACCUUAAACCUGUUUAUCUGUACUAUCACCAAGUCUCACCCACAGUUUUGCUUUUUAUCCAUUUGGUUGUCUAUUUGCCACCAUCCUGCCAACUCGCCCCACCCUGCACCUAGAAUAAUCAUGUUCUUUACCCAAACUCUAAACCAGUUCCUUUCCAAGGAGGUCCACUGAUUAAGCUAUGUAGUAAAUUGAAAAAAAAAAAAAAUGAACUACUGAUACCAGCACAAACAUGCAUACAGACAAAAUUAAAUUUUAAAAAAUUCCCACAAAACAUUCUGAAAAAUGUGAAGUGUGUUUGAAAUCACCUAAUUUCCUAUUGCAGUUAAUGUCACUACCAAACUUCUUAACCAAACUUAUGUUGCCCUAGUAGUUCCAGGCAUAGCACCUUGUCCAUUUGUCUUGCUGGAUCUCAGUUUAAUCCAGGAAGGGUCUUUGCUGAUGUCCAAGUCAUUAUCCCAGAGCUGCAUCAUGUAAAAUUCAUUGCA
rnacentral:lncRNA from 10 species